GCCACAUGAUGCUUUAUAGACUUCAUUAGCAUUUUUGUGCGAAGAUGACCUUUGAUCUAUCACCCAAGACUGAUGGCG